CUUGCUUCUCCGAAAUACUGAGGCUUUUGUGGAAAGGAAGUUUGCUGUUGCUGAUCACUUGCUCCCAUGCACGCAUGCAGCAUUCAUGUUCUAUACUACAUCAAACUCAAGAUUUAUGAAGAAAUGCUUGAAAACAAGUAC